rnacentral:rRNA from 1 species
GACGAACGCUGGCGGCGUGCUUAACACAUGCAAGUCGAACGGAAAGGCCCUGCUUUUGUGGGGUGCUCGAGUGGCGAACGGGUGAGUAACACGUGAGUAACCUGCCCUUGACUUUGGGAUAACUUCAGGAAACUGGGGCUAAUACCGGAUAGGAGCUCCUGCUGCAUGGUGGGGGUUGGAAAGUUUCGGCGGUUGGGGAUGGACUCGCGGCUUAUCAGCUUGUUGGUGGGGUAGUGGCUUACCAAGGCUUUGACGGGUAGCCGGCCUGAGAGGGUGACCGGCCACAUUGGGACUGAGAUACGGCCCAGACUCCUUCGGGAGGCAGCAGGUGGGAAUAUUGCACAAUGGGCGGAAGCCUGAUGCAGCAACGCCGCGUGCGGGAUGACGGCCUUCGGGUUGUAAACCGCUUUCGCCUGUGACGAAGCGUGAGUGACGGUAAUGGGUAAAGAAGCACCGGCUAACUACGUG